UUUUUUUUUUUCCUCUCUCU
rnacentral:miRNA from 1 species